UCAGUUCCGAUACGACUCUAGUGCUGUGUGUAAUUAUUCUCGUGAAUACACUAAGUUUAUUAAUUUCUAUGAUUGGAUUUCAUUUUGCCUGAGAACUACGUCAUGAACCCUUAACCAGAAGACCCUGUCGCCAGCGACAGCGACGCUCAUCCAUCCCUGGCGUCGACCAGAAUAACAAUGUGCUAAAAUCACCAGGCUAUUGUGUGCGCAUACUCUGGAGUAUGCCACAUACAACUGGUCGUCGGAGAAGCAUAGAUUUCCAUUAAGUCUACUCCCGCUACCAUAUGGAACUCCGCUAAAACUCGUGAGGGCGCCAACACUUGCUUUU